CCUAUUGUGGGAUCGCCAGAUCAUAAGAAAAUGGAGCAUCAAGGAUAGGUGUGUCCAUGCAUAGAAGAGGAGGAGAAGCAUCGGAGAGAGAUUUCUUCAUGGGUGAUGUUGAAGACCAUAGCCAUGGUACAGGCUCUAGGUGAGAAGGUGCAGAGGGAGGUGAGUCUCCCAAGCACUCGAGCAGUGGUGAGUGGGCACCAGAAGAGGGCCUAGAGGCAUAUGCAUCAGGGAUAGAUGCUACGGUGGC
rnacentral:lncRNA from 1 species